UACAGAGGUCCCAAGCGUUGUUCGGAUUCACUGGGCGUAAAGGGUGCGUAGGUGGCGAGGUAAGUCGGAUGUGAAAUCUCCGAGCUCAACUCGGAAAUGGCAUUGGAAACUACCUUGCUCGAGGGUUGGAGGGGGGACUGGAAUGCUUGGUGUAGCAGUGAAAUGCGUAGAUAUCCGGAGGAACACCGGUGGCGAAGGCGGCUUCCUGGACCGACACUGACGCUGAGGCGCGAAAGCUAGGGGAGCAAACGGG
rnacentral:rRNA from 1 species